GACGAACGCUGGCGGCGUGCUUAACACAUGCAAGUCGAACGGAAAGGCCCUGCUUGCCGGGUACUCGAGUGGCGAACGGGUGAGUAACACGUGGGUGAUCUGCCCUGCACUUCGGGAUAAGCCUGGGCAACUGGGUCUAAUACCGGAUAGGAGCCAUUUUUAGUGUGAUGGUUGGAAAGUUUUUUCGGUGUAGGAUGAGCUCGCGGCCUAUCAGCUUGUUGGUGGGGUAAUGGCCUACCAAGGCGGCGACGGGUAGCCGGCCUGAGAGGGUGGACGGCCACAUUGGGACUGAGAUACGGCCCAGACUCCUACGGGAGGCAGCAGUGGGGAAUAUUGCACAAUGGGCGCAAGCCUGAUGCAGCGACGCCGCGUGGGGGAUGACGGCCUUCGGGUUGUAAACUCCUUUCGCUAGGGACGAAGCUUUUGUGACGGUACCUAGAGAAGAAGCACCGGCUAACUACGUG
rnacentral:rRNA from 1 species